rnacentral:lncRNA from 1 species
UAGCAGCAGCCGGGAGGUUUACACAGGUGUGAAGAUCUCCUAGUAUUCUAACGUAAUACAUAAUAAACAUAAACGUAAUAUUUAAAUUAAAAUUGUAUCGCAACGUCUCGCGUUCCAUACAUUUUAUCAAGCAAAUUAAAUUACUGUGAACGGGCCUGAUAAACUGGCGUCGCGGGCUAUAGUUUGAUGAUCCCUGGUGUAACGUGUUCGGACGGUGAUACCCCCAACGCGUCUGGUUUGACGGUUGGAAAAAUUCCAGAGCGAAGCCUCCGGUCGGUUUUUUCUGGUCAACAGAUAACGCCACACUCCGCCACUAGAAGAAUACUAUGUGACGAGGCGAAACAAGCCCUUCCACAGGGUGCCUACCCCUGCGGAGGGGAUUGUGGAG